rnacentral:rRNA from 1 species
GGGCCCGCACAAGCGGUGGAGUAUGUGGUUUAAUUCGAUGCAACGCGAAGAACCUUACCAGGGCUUAAAUGUGGUUUGACAGCUUUAGAGAUAGAGUUUUCUUCGGACAAAUCACAAGGUGCUGCAUGGUUGUCGUCAGCUCGUGCCGUGAGGUGUUGGGUUAAGUCCCGCAACGAGCGCAACCCUUGUCCUUAGUUACCAGCGGGUUAAGCCGGGAACUCUAAGGAUACUGCCAGUGACAAACUGGAGGAAGGCGGGGACGACGUCAAGUCAUCAUGCCCCUUACAUCCUGGGCUACACACGUACUACAAUGCUACGGACAAAGGGCAGCAAGUUCGCGAGGACAAGC